UGAUAGGGCGGGGUUGCUGACGAACUUGUGGAAGGGGUUUUGCCUUAUUUAUUCUACCUGUUUGGCUUGUAACGAUAUAGAGUUAAAUGAAAGAUGGCUGAAUGAUCACACAUCGUGUCGGCUAAUUUUUAAGAACCUUCCACGUGGUUAAGGUAACAUAAAAUGGCUUGCCAGGUCCCUGACCACUUUUCCAGAAAACCCUUUCAUGUUCGUGGCUGCUGGACACUUAUGCACUUCUACUUUUCAGAUGAAAACACUGAUGCUCAAGCCAGACAGAGUGAGUGGUGGUGCUCACCCAUGAUCCUGUGUUCACCUAUGAUCCUGAGCUCACCCAUGAUCCCCGCACUCAGGACGUCAUGGGAAACUAACUGGCCAUUGAUGAACUGAGCAGGAUUCCAACAUCUGGAGAACUCAGCUAUACUUAAUGCAAGUGGGUUUAAGCUUUUAAAGUACAAGUAAAGUUUUGCUAUAUUUGGUGCAUACUAACAGGUAUAGAUAUGUUUCAAAGCCAGCCUGAGCUAUAUCAGAAAAUCCUAUCUCAAAAUGCAGAAAACAAAGCAACAAGAGACAAUAACAAGAAAAGGGAAAGCCUGCUCCGAGAUCUUGCCUGAGAAGAGCAGGUCUGUAAGGACAAAGCCAAGAAGAUUACCGCUCAGUCAGCGAAGACCCUUAUUUUCAGUCACGCUGUUUGACACAAACUGGAGUCUCCUGGGAAGAAGGGACCUCAACUGAGAAAUUACCUCCAUUUGAUUGGCCUGUGGAGCACAGGAUCAUAAUUGAUGCGACUCCUCAGGAGACCAUGACCCAGAAUAAAACACACCACAGGAUUCAGUUGAUUUUGCCGAAGUGCUAAACUAUGAUGGGACCUAUUUUGCAUUUAAAUGUUCAGCUUUGAUAUUUCUUGAUUUAGGAGUUUGUUGACACUAAUUCUCCAGUAUCCUAAAUUCCUUAUUUUGCUGGAAAUUUUUAAUUAAUUAAAAAAUUUGGCAAGAUUGUUUUAAACUGGAAAUGCUAAAAAUGUUACAUAUGCUCUAAUGAAUAUUUUAGCAGAAACAGCUAGCAGGCCUCACAAGUAAUGAUAACCUUGUUUGAUUUGUAAACACAAACAACAUUUAAGUUGGGAUAUUUCUUAUAAAUCCUUAUAGUAAAGAAAUUUUGAAGAAAAAAUAAAAAUGAAAGCCAACCCUG